AAAAAAGCUAAAUUCACUUAGUAGGCCAAUAUUUAAAAUAAAUAUUCUUUUGAGCGUAAUAGGACUCAGAUCUAAAAAGAUUAAGCGCUACCAAAGCUAAAAAAAAAUAUACAUCUCUCAAAAUGAUAAAACAAAAAACAUAUCUCCAAAAAAAUGAAAAAAGCUCGUCGCCAGUCUUAUCGAUUCCUCCUUCAAAGCCACUGUUUUGGCUCGUCGUCGGUCUUAUUUUGUGUGCAUUCAGUGACUAUCCUUCUGUCUCAG
rnacentral:lncRNA from 1 species